GUCGGGAGGGCGACUAAUACAAUACCACAAGGAAAUACGUCCAGCCCUUACCUUGAACGGGGUUUUCUAACCUCCUGACCGCCUUUG
rnacentral:ncRNA from 1 species